UACGUAGGGGGCAAGCGUUGUCCGGAUUUACUGGGCGUAAAGAGCGUGUAGGCGGCCAAGCAGGUCCGUUGUGAAAACUGGAGGCUUAACCUCCAGACGUCGACGGAAACCGCGUGGCUAGAGUCCGGAAGAGGAGAGUGGAAUUCCUGGUGUAGCGGUGAAAUGCGCAGAUAUCAGGAAGAACACCAAGUGGCGAAGGCAGCUCUCUGGGACGGUACUGACGCUGAGACGCGAAAGCGUGGGGAGCGAACAGG
rnacentral:rRNA from 1 species